AAGAACUAACCAGGAUUCCCUCAGUAACGGCGAGUGAAGAGGGAAGAGCCCAGCACCGAAGCCUGCGGCAGGUUUGCUGUUAGGCAAUGUGGUGUGUGGGUCGACUCGCGGGGCCGUUGCUCCACUCGAAGUCCAGCAUUGAGUAUGGUUAUCCCUGGAUUUGGCCCAUAGAGGGUGAGAGGCCCGUACGGGUGGAGGUUCAGACAUGUGAGACGGUUCACCAGGUCGACCUCAGAGUCGGGUUGUUUGAGAUUGCAGCCCAAAGAGGGUGGUAAACUCCAUCCAAGGCUAAAUACUGGCACGAGUCCGAUAGCGAACAAGUACCGUGAGGGAAAGUUGAAAAGUACUCUGAAGAGAGAGUAAACAGUACGUGAAGCCGCAUGCAGGUAAACGGGUGGCGUCAAACUGCGAGCCCAGAGGAUUCAGCUGAUUGGGUUGUAGUGUGCGUGCUUGGUACGCCAAAAGGUCCAGAGUAAAACGCGCACGCGGCGGUCCUCUCCUCUGUUAGGAGGGGGAUGGCGGUCGGGUCAAACCGGGUGUCAUUAUGCGGGCCGGAAUGGGUUGCCGGUGCAUGCCGCACGUCUGUUGGACCGCCCAGUCAGUGCACUUUCUCUGUGGCGAACACCACGACCGGUGGGAUUGCCAGUCUGCUAUGGUCAAGUCGUGUUUGUCUGAUUUUUCAGCUGCCGCUAUCACCUCGUGUGGUGGUGGUAGUUGAGUCAGAUGGAUGCGGUCGCAGGUGGAUCGGAUGGACGGCGUAGUGGUGCCUCGGUGCUGCUGCGUGUUAUCGUACACCCACCACUGUAAGCGAGUUUGGCGGACAUGCUGUAGCCGUGUCUGCCAUCUCGGCAGGCCAUAGUGGUGAAAGCGACUGUGCAAGGCAUCGGGGUUGUCCACCUCAUUCAAAUAUGGUAUUCGGCACGCACGUUACAUGGUGCUAUGGAUCAGGGCGCGCCGCUGCCUGUGGGUGCUGGACCUGACUGCUCGUGUUGCCCGCACAAAGUGGGUCCGACGGUGGUUGUCAGCACUUUGCAGUGUGCAGUGUAUUAUUAGCGUUGCCUUGGGUGCAUGUGAUACCGGGGGUGAAAUAGUCAGUGGUGCUGUGGUAGACGAGCUACCCGACCCGUCUUGAAACACGGACCAAGGAGUUUAACAUGUGUGCGAGUCAAAGGGUCCUACGAAACCCCGAGGCGCAGUGAAAGUGAAGUUCGUGUCGCACUCUCGCACACAUACGCGGUGUGACACGAUGCGGUGAGAUCCUGCUGUUUAUCGCUGCAAAUGCUGGGUGCCUUGUGCCACCAGGCUGAGGGCAGUGGGCGCAUCACCGGCCCGUCCCAUGAUGUGGUCAUAGGUGUGUGUGGCGGCAUGCGUUUACGCGUGUGUCGUCGCGUCAGCCUGUGCGUCAUCGGGGCGGAGCAUGAGCACACACGUUGAGACCCGAAAGAUGGUGAACUAUGCUUGCGUAGGUUGAAGCCAGAGGAAACUCUGGUGGAGGACCGUAGCGAUUCUGACGUGCAAAUCGAUCGUCAAACGUGAGCAUAGGGGCGAAAGACUAAUCGA
rnacentral:rRNA from 1 species